AGAGUUUGAUCCUGGCUCAGAGCGAACGCUGGCGGCAGGCUUAACACAUGCAAGUCGAACGGGCUUCUUCGGAAGUCAGUGGCAGACGGGUGAGUAACACGUGGGAACGUGCCCUUCGGUUCGGAAUAACUCAGGGAAACUUGAGCUAAUACCGGAUACGCCCUUACGGGGAAAGGUUUACUGCCGAAGGAUCGGCCCGCGUCUGAUUAGCUUGUUGGUGGGGUAACGGCCUACCAAGGCGACGAUCAGUAGCUGGUCUGAGAGGAUGAUCAGCCACACUGGGACUGAGACACGGCCAGACUCCUACGGGAGGCAGCAGUGGGGAAUAUUGGACAAUGGGCGCAAGCCUGAUCCAGCCAUGCCGCGUGAGUGAUGAAGGCCUUAGGGUUGUAAAGCUCUUUUGUCCGGGACGAUAAUGACGGUACCGGAAGAAUAAGCCCCGGCUAACUUCGUGCCAGCAGCCGCGGUAAUACGAAGGGGGCUAGCGUUGCUCGGAAUCACUGGGCGUAAAGGGCGCGUAGGCGGCCGAUUAAGUCGGGGGUGAAAGCCUGUGGCUCAACCACAGAAUUGCCUUCGAUACUGGUUGGCUUGAGACCGGAAGAGGACAGCGGAACUGCGAGUGUAGAGGUGAAAUUCGUAGAUAUUCGCAAGAACACCAGUGGCGAAGGCGGCUGUCUGGUCCGGUUCUGACGCUGAGGCGCGAAAGCGUGGGGAGCAAACAGGAUUAGAUACCCUGGUAGUCC
rnacentral:rRNA from 1 species